rnacentral:rRNA from 1 species
UACGUAGGAGACGAGCGUUGUCCGGAGUUACUGGGCGUAAAGGGUGCGCAGGCGGCCUUGCGCGUCGCGAGUGAAAUCUCCCGGCUCAACUGGGAGGGUGGUCGCGAGACGGCAGGGCUUGAGGCUCGGUGAGGGGCGUGGAAUCCGGGUGGAGCGGUGAAAUGCGUAGAGAUCCGGAGGAACACCGACGGCGUAGGCAGCGCCCUAGACGAGACCUGACGCUCAGGCACGAAAGCGCGGGGAGCGAAUAGG